rnacentral:rRNA from 1 species
GAUGAACGCUGGCGGCGUGCCUAAUACAUGCAAGUCGAGCGAACAGACGAGGAGCUUGCUCCUUCGACGUUAGCGGCGGACGGGUGAGUAACACGUAGGUAACCUACCUAUAAGACUGGGAUAACUUCGGGAAACCGGAGCUAAUACCGGAUAAUAUUUCGAACCGCAUGGUUCGAUAGUGAAAGAUGGCUUUGCUAUCACUUAUAGAUGGACCUGCGCCGUAUUAGCUAGUUGGUAAGGUAACGGCUUACCAAGGCAGCGAUACGUAGCCGACCUGAGAGGGUGAUCGGCCACACUGGAACUGAGACACGGUCCAGACUCCUACGGGAGGCAGCAGUAGGGAAUCUUCCGCAAUGGGCGAAAGCCUGACGGAGCAACGCCGCGUGAGUGAUGAAGGUCUUCGGAUCGUAAAACUCUGUUAUUAGGGAAGAACAAACGUGUAAGUAACUGUGCACGUCUUGACGGUACCUAAUCAGAAAGCCACGGCUAACUACGUG